AUGAAUCUGCGGAGUCGUCCACCGAAUGUGAGAUCCAGGCAGCAUGGCAAUGCACGGGACGACGAAUCGAAAGGGGGAGGAGGAGGAGGGGGGAGGGGGAAGGAGGCGAACCUGGCGAUCUUGCGCCCCAGCCUGCUCUUGUCAUUGAGGGGCAGGAGCAUGAAGAAGAGCUGCGUGCCGAGCACCCUGCACCAUCGAAACGAGCACGAGCGUGAGCGAAGAGGGAUUAACCGGCAAGAACAGCAGCAGAUAGUGAAAGGAGAAGGGAGACGGGGGGAGUGGAUCGGUGGACGGACAUGGCGGCGACGCGGCGGGGGAGGAGGAAGAGGGAGGCGAUGA
rnacentral:rRNA from 1 species